rnacentral:rRNA from 1 species
UGGUCAACAGAGGGAAGCAAGACCGCGAGGUGGAGCAAAUCCCUAAAAGCCAUCCCAGUUCGGAUUGCAGGCUGAAACCCGCCUGUAUGAAGUUGGAAUCGCUAGUAAUCGCGGAUCAGCAUGCCGCGGUGAAUACGUUCCCGGGCCUUGUACACACCGCCCGUCACACCAUGAGAGUCGGGAACACCCGAAGUCCGUAGUCUAACCGCAAGGGGGACGCGGCCGAAGGUGGGUUCGAUAAUUGGGGUGAAGUCGUAACAAGGUAGC